AUGUGUAAAUAUAUAAGUUAAAUAUAAAACUCAAUCACAGAGUAUAUGUAGCUAAUUCCUACAUAAACUUUUUUUUUUUAGAAAAAGAUGGGUGUAUGGUAUAAGAUCUUCAAGCUAAGUCAUCAACGUCAUCAUUUUGAAGCUGAUUGCCCCUCCGCUUCUAGUUGCCUAUGCUCUUGAUCAUCCUCGCCGACAAUCUAGUGUUUCAACGCCAGAUCCUAGUUGAGAUCGACACUGAUUUCUUUGCCGCCUCACCGGUAUUGCGACCCACCGCUUCAUGAAUGUCGUCGGUUGUUUGGUUCAUUAGCUGUUUGCUUUAACUUCUAUGAGUAGCUAUACAUUUUAGCAUCUUAGAGAAGUUUUGUUUAGCUUCUUUAAGAAGCUUGUUUUUUUAGCAUAGGUCUUUAUUAUUAUUUUUAUGUUUUUUAAUUUUAUAUAUUUUUCUUUUAUCUUUCAUCUAUUAGUCUUUCCCUGAGAUAGAGAGGCUUUUAGAUUUUAGUAGUCUUCCCUAAGAUAGGGAGAUUACUAAUAUCGUGUACCUUUCUAUCAUAAAAAAAUAAAAAUGAUACGAAUAGUGUUUGCAUGGUAA